GAUGAACGCUGGCGGUCUGCUUAACACAUGCAAGUCGAACGGAAUCCUUCGGGAUUUAGUGGCGGACGGGUGAGUAACACGUGAGAAUCUGCACUCAGGAUGGGGACAACAGCGGGAAACUGCUGCUAAUACCCAAUGUGCCGAAAGGUAAAAGAUUUAUCGCCUGAGAAUGAGCUCGCGGCCGAUUAGUUAGUUGGUGGGGUAAUGGCCUACCAAGAAGGCGAUCGGUAGCUGGUCUGAGAGGAUGAGCAGCCAAACUGGGACUGAGACACGGCCCAGGCUCUUACGGGAGGCAGCAGUGAGGAAUUUUCCGCAAUGGGCGCAAUCCUGACGGAGCAAGACCGCGUGGGGGAGGAAGGCUCUUGGGUUGUAAACCCCUUUUCUCAGGGAAGAAGUUCUGACGGUACCUAAGGAAUCAGCCUCGGCUAACUCCGUGCCAGCCGCCGCCGUAAAAC
rnacentral:rRNA from 1 species